rnacentral:rRNA from 1 species
UACGUAUGGUGCAAGCGUUAUCCGGAUUUACUGGGUGUAAAGGGAGCGCAGGCGGCACGGCAAGCCUGAUGUGAAAGCCCGCGGCCCAACCGCGGGACUGCAUUGGGAACUACCGGGCUGGAGUGCCGGAGAGGUAGGCGGAAUUCCUAGUGUAGCGGUGGGAUGCGUAGAUAUUAGGAGGAACACCAGUGGCGAAGGCGGCCUACUGGACGGUGACUGACGCUGAGGCUCGAAAGCGUGGGGAGCAAACAGG